UUGUAACCAAUUAUAAUAUUCGUUUCAUGCUUUAAUGAAGCAUUUACGUGAGAUUGAAUCAAGGAGAUGUUUCAUUCUGGAGUGGAUCUGCUGCAUAGAAUGUGGCGCCGACAGGGGUGUUGAAGCCGGCAUAAAUAGCUUCGAAGUGCCUCUGAUAUUCUGAAUCAGUGUUGUUGCCGGAGGGGUAGAUUGAAGCGUGGAUGUCUAUAUUGGAGCCAUUGUGCAUCGAUGUGAAGUUGCGACGAGGAGAAUAUUGAUGCGACAGUACUGUUAAUACGGUGUAUCUGUGAGUUCAAGUUCUAGGUCGCAGCGCUGUAUUCCGGAGGUAUCAUUCAUGUUGUGCAAAUAUAGCUCCUGGCAUUAUCGAAUAGAGUGAUCACAACUUGUUAGAUUUUUCUUCUCUUGGACUGAAUGCCGAAAUUGGAAGCGCGUCGUAUGUUCUGUAUGGGGAAGGAGAACUCGGAAAGGUGAGCUUGUAUCUGUUCCUCUUGGUUUUUCUUCUGUUUUUGUUUUUAUUUUCACUCCUUGGAUCUUGGUUGUUGUAUUGGUUGCUGACAGUCGGGUGUGGAGUGUGUGGAGGGCAGUGGUUUAUGAGGGCCGUAGCUUAGGUCAUGGUUUCUCCUCGAUGCCGUCGUUUCUUAGCGGCGGCGUCAUGGUUCCUGUCUUGGUGAAGAUAUGCGGUCUGUCUUCGGCUUAUCUUGAAACUAUUUGUUGCAGCGACAAUUGUAUUUAUUCAAGGAAGAUAGUUGAUUAGACGUAAAGUUGUAUGUGUUUUGAGGUUCUUGGUGGUGGCUUGCAAUUUCACUGAAAACUACAGAGUGGAUUCUAUUUCUUCAAAGGUAUUAUAUAUUAUUUUCUUUCGACACACAUUUUCCUGAGCCACAUACUCAAAGGAGCACAAGGCUAGAUAUUUAUAAUGACCUAGAGUUUUACCAGGGGAUUUCUAAAAGAGACAGAAUUGCUGAUGUUGAGGCAAAACAUGUGGCUAAAAAGAAGGAUAGCUUCUCUCUUAUUGUACCGUUCAAGAAUGAGAGCUGAGUUAAAGCUGAGGAUGGAGCGAGAGAACUCGCGAUUCUUCUAAAGCUAGCUAUAUUAUUUCCAAGCAGUAAGUAUGUCAUUGACCCAUCAACAACUUUGGGCGGUGAACAAGUUUAUUUUUAUCGAGGCUAAUAAUGUGCUACUUGGUAUGUCUCGUAUGUUUCACAAGUAGACGUAUUGGGUACAAGCUGCUACUCAUCUAAGGAUUUGUGGACAUGGAAACCCGAAGGAAUAGUAUUGCAGAGUGAGUGGGCAGACAAGACCAACGAUUUAUAUUUCUGAAAUGUGGUUGAACGACCAAAGGUUAUAUACAAUGAGAGAACAAAUAAUCAUGUGGAUGUACAUCGAUAAUGGAAAUUAUUUUAAAGCUGCUAUUGGUGUAGCCAUUAGUAUCCAACCAUUGGAGGGUCCCUUUGAUUACAUGGGCAGUAUAAGACCUCAUGGCUGUGAGAGUCGGGACAUGGCAAUUUCAAAGAUGACAACGGAGAUGCCUGUAUCAUCUACUCAUCAAUACGAAAGAAUGAGUUGCACAUAGGUAUGGAAAGGUUUUAGGAGACUCUUUAAGAACAUUCAUGUGAUACUGCAUUUAAAAGUUGUGAUGUGAAUAGUAUUUAGUGACUAAUGUGAACACUGAACAAUCUCAAUCAGCUUAUUUGUUUUGCUAUAUUCGUCAACGUUGUUUUUUGGGUCAUGAACAAGAUUCGUCACUUCAUGAAAUUAUGGCACUCGUUAACGCUUUGUGAAAUAGCACGGAUUUUUAGUUCAGUUCUUAGUGCAGUUGUAGUAUAAUUAAUUGUACUUUGGUUUUCUUUAGAUUGAAAACUGUAGGAAUGUUGACCGAAGACUACACUGAUAUUGUGGAAAGAGGAAUGAAGACGGUGUUGGUGAACGUCGAGAACCACCAGCAGUCUUCAAGCACCGUAAUAUAUACUACAUGGUGACUUCAUGCUGUUCAAGCCUGAACCCAAAUGGUGCAUUGGUCCAUGUAGCUGAGUCAAUGCUGGGGCCCUGGGCAACGCUGGGAGAUCCUUGUACGGGAGGAGAAGAUGAAGAAUUUUGAGCACAUACGUUUUUCUCACAAGGAUCAUUUAUAUUACCCUUACCUGGUUUAACUGAUUCUUUUAUAUUUAUGGCAGAUAGGUUUGUUCCUUCAUUCGGUAUUUGUUCUUUCAAUGUUUGGUCUCUGGUAUUAGAGACAUCGGCACUUGAUAUCCCGGAACGUUGUACAUGUUCUGUAAAGUCCAUUCUGUCUUUGCCGCUUUACAUGUUUGUUUUUUUUGCGACAUAUUACCAAGCAAAACCUGCAUUCAAUUGCAUGCAGUUGAAGUU